rnacentral:rRNA from 1 species
CACCUCUAGCAUUACUAGUAUUAGAGGCACUGCCUGCCCAGUGACAUUAGUUAAACGGCCGCGGUAUCCUGACCGUGCAAAGGUAGCAUAAUCAUUUGUUCUUUAAAUAGGGACUUGUAUGAACGGCCACACGAGGGUUCUACUGUCUCUUGCUUCCAAUCAGUGAAAUUGACCUCCCCGUGCAGAGGCGGGGAUACACAAAUAAGACGAGAAGGCCCUAUGGAGCUUUAAUUAACUAACUCAAAGAAAAUAUAAAUAACCGCCAAGGGAUAAUAAUCUUCUACCUGAGUUAGCAAUUUCGGUUGGGGUGACCUCGGAGAACAGAAAAACCUCCGAGUGACUAAAAUCUAGACUUACCAGUCAAAAUGUAGUGUCACUUAUUGAUCCAAAAUAUUUGAUCAACGGAACAAGUUACCCUAGGGAUAACAGCGCAAUCCUAUUCAAGAGUUCAUAUCGACAAUAGGGUUUACGACCUCGAUGUUGGAUCAGGACACCCCAAUGGUGCAGCCGCUAUUAAAGGUUCGUUUGUUCAACGAUUAAAGUCCU